UACGAAGGGGGCUAGCGUUGUUCGGAAUCACUGGGCGUAAAGGGCGCGUAGGCGGCUUUAUAAGUCGGGGGUGAAAGCCUGUGGCUCAACCACAGAAUUGCCUUCGAUACUGUAGAGCUUGAGACCGGAAGAGGUAAGUGGAACUGCGAGUGUAGAGGUGAAAUUCGUAGAUAUUCGCAAGAACACCAGUGGCGAAGGCGACUUACUGGACCGGUUCUGACGCUGAGGCGCGAAAGCGUGGGGAGCAAACAGG
rnacentral:rRNA from 1 species